rnacentral:tRNA from 2 species
GCGGGUUUAGCUCAGUUGGGAGAGCGUCAGACUGAAGUCCACUUCAACUCAAAUCCAAAUAUCCACCACCAGGAUAAUCUGAAGGUCGUGUGUUCGAUCCACACAAACCGCA